rnacentral:rRNA from 1 species
AGCAGUAGGGAAGUCUUCCACAAUGGGCGCAAGCCUGAUGGAGCAACACCGCGUGAGUGAAGAAGGGUUUCGGCUCGUAAAGCUCUGUUGUUAAAGAAGAACACGUAUGAGAGUAACUGUUCAUACGUUGACGGUAUUUAACCAGAAAGUCACGGCUAACUACGUGCCAG